rnacentral:tRNA from 5 species
AUUAUUUUGGCAGAAAAGUGCUUUAAAUUUAGAAUUUAAAUAUAUAAAUAAUUUUAUAAAUAAUA